CACCGUAUUCAGCUGCCGCCGCGACCAGCAAAGGCCCAUCUCGGCCCCUCUCGCCCUAUGAAGCACGCACGCCCUCCCGUUCCCCUCGUCGCCUCCACCUCCCCGUGUCCCCGCCCACGGCGGACCCUGCCGGCGAGGUCGCCACCGGAUCUCACGGCGCCGACAGCAGAACCAGCGCUCCGCUUCCAUUCCACAGGUUCCAAGCCUCCAAGGCAUCGUUCAGUCAGGGCCACUUCCACUCAUGCAGCGGAUAAGUGAAAAGGAAAAACUUAAUUAUUUCAACUGCGUAGUCGGAACGAUAUGCAUGAGCAAUUAAUUUUCUAUGUCCUCACAGAAGCUGCCAGGCCCAAAAUUUUCUCGGGAACAAACUAGUCAACCCUGCAGCAUGGAUUUGACUGUUGCACAUAGUCUUCUCCCAACAGUAGCUUCUUAUCCCUGAUUUCAGCUGGCUGAUGUGUAGUCCUGAAAUAAAGCUUCAGGAGUAAGACUCGAGCCAGUGGCGUUUCGCUCAAUCAUCAAUCACCCAGCGGUGGCGUCCAAUUUGUAUCCACCGUGAACUUUCUUUUCAGUUAUCUUUUGGUAACUGGUUGCAUGGUACUAAUGGUAUAAAGCUAAGGGCCCAGGUCUUGUGCGG